rnacentral:rRNA from 1 species
AUCUACAGGCUUAACACAUGCAAGUCGAGGGGCAGCAUGGUCUUAUCUUGCUAAGGCCGAUGGCGACCGGCGCACGGGUGAGUAACACGUAUCCAACCUGCCGUCUACUCUUGGACAGCCUUCUGAAAGGAAGAUUAAUACAAGAUGGCAUCAUGAGUCCGCAUGUUCACAUGAUUAAAGGUAUUCCGGUAGACGAUGGGGAUGCGUUCCAUUAGAUAGUAGGCGGGGUAACGGCCCACCUAGUCUUCGAUGGAUAGGGGUUCUGAGAGGAAGGUCCCCCACAUUGGAACUGAGACACGGUCCAAACUCCUACGGGAGGCAGCAGUGAGGAAUAUUGGUCAAUGGGCGAGAGCCUGAACCAGCCAAGUAGCGUGAAGGAUGACUGCCCUAUGGGUUGUAAACUUCUUUUAUAAAGGAAUAAAGUCGGGUAUGGAUACCCGUUUGCAUGUACUUUAUGAAUAAGGAUCGGCUAACUCCGUGCCAGCAGCCGCGGUAAUACGGAGGAUCCGAGCGUUAUCCGGAUUUAUUGGGUUUAAAGGGAGCGUAGAUGGAUGUUUAAGUCAGUUGUGAAAGUUUGCGGCUCAACCGUAAAAUUGCAGUUGAUACUGGAUAUCUUGAGUGCAGUUGAGGCAGGCGGAAUUCGUGGUGUAGCGGUGAAAUGCUUAGAUAUCACGAAGAACUCCGAUUGCGAAGGCAGCCUGCUAAGCUGCAACUGACAUUGAGGCUCGAAAGUGUGGGUAUCAAACAGGAUUAGAUACCCUGGUAGUCCACACGGUAAACGAUGAAUACUCGCUGUUUGCGAUAUACUGCAAGCGGCCAAGCGAAAGCGUUAAGUAUUCCACCUGGGGAGUACGCCGGCAACGGUGAAACUCAAAGGAAUUGACGGGGGCCCGCACAAGCGGAGGAACAUGUGGUUUAAUUCGAUGAUACGCGAGGAACCUUACCCGGGCUUAAAUUGCAGAUGAAUUACGGUGAAAGCCGUAAGCCGCAAGGCAUCUGUGAAGGUGCUGCAUGGUUGUCGUCAGCUCGUGCCGUGAGGUGUCGGCUUAAGUGCCAUAACGAGCGCAACCCUUGUUGUCAGUUACUAACAGGUUCCGCUGAGGACUCUGACAAGACUGCCAUCGUAAGAUGUGAGGAAGGUGGGGAUGACGUCAAAUCAGCACGGCCCUUACGUCCGGGGCUACACACGUGUUACAAUGGGGGGUACAGAGGGCCGCUACCACGCGAGUGGAUGCCAAUCCCCAAAACCUCUCUCAGUUCGGACUGGAGUCUGCAACCCGACUCCACGAAGCUGGAUUCGCUAGUAAUCGCGCAUCAGCCACGGCGCGGUGAAUACGUUCCCGGGCCUUGUACACACCGCCCGUCAAGCCAUGGGAGCCGGGGGUACCUGAAGUGCGUAACCGCGAGGAGCACCCUAGGGUAAAACUGGUGACUGGGGCUAA